AUGCUUCACGGUAGCUAGCUUAUACUAGGUUUCAAUGUUGUGGACUUUGUACAGUUCUUCUAUGAAGUAAUAAAUAGAUGUUAAACUUUCUUCAUCAGUUAUGUAUGUUGCUUACAAUUCUUGUUAAUUACUUAAUUUGCUUGGCCGGUGUUAAUGGGCACAAUAAAUGAGAAGUUCAAAAACCUUGUGGAAAUAUGAAAUUUGGUGGUUGUGAUUCCAUGAAUCAAAAUUCUCAUGGGUAGUGCUUCAAAGAAAUGACUUGACUUUGGCUCGUGUUAGAAAAUUAAACUAGAUAUUUUAUGAGCGAAUAAUAGAAGUUAAGAGAAUAUUCACAUUUCCUAGUAUAACUUAUGUGAUAAACACCCUUUAAAGUGUUUACUGCCUGCAGGUUGAUGAGAGUUUCUAAAAGGACAAAUCACUUUGUCAUGAUCAAACUUUAUGAAGUGUCACAGACAGCAAUGUCUGUUUUCAAAUCAAACAAAAGAAAUAUUAUUACAUAGGUGAAAGUCUUAGGCUGAUUCUUUUGUUGGUGAAA
rnacentral:misc_RNA from 1 species